GCCAGAUCACGUACGCUGUCGGCAGUUGACCAGCAACGACAGCAGACGUUCCCCCAUAAAGCGGGUGUCGCAGGUUCGAAUCCUGCCGGGGGCA
rnacentral:tRNA from 1 species